GAUGAACGCUGGCGGCGUGCCUAAUACAUGCAAGUCGAGCGAACAGACGAGGAGCUUGCUCCUCUGAUGUUAGCGGCGGACGGGUGAGUAACACGUGGAUAACCUACCUAUAAGACUGGGAUAACUUCGGGAAACCGGAGCUAAUACCGGAUAAUAUUUUGAACCGCAUGGUUCAAUAGUGAAAGACGGUUUUGCUGUCACUUAUAGAUGGAUCCGCGCCGCAUUAGCUAGUUGGUAAGGUAACGGCUUACCAAGGCAACGAUGCGUAGCCGACCUGAGAGGGUGAUCGGCCACACUGGAACUGAGACACGGUCCAGACUCCUACGGGAGGCAGCAGUAGGGAAUCUUCCGCAAAGGGCGAAAGCCUGACGGAGCAACGCCGCGUGAGUGAUGAAGGUCUUCGGAUCGUAAAACUCUGUUAUUAGGGAAGAACAAAUGUGUAAGUAACUAUGCACGUCUUGACGGUACCUAAUCAGAAAGCCACGGCUAACUACGUG
rnacentral:rRNA from 1 species